rnacentral:rRNA from 1 species
UACGGAGGAUCCGAGCGUUAUCCGGAAUUAUUGGGUUUAAAGGGUGCGUAGGCGGCCAUUUAAGUCAGCGGUGAAAUUUUGCAGCUUAACUGUAACAGUGCCGUUGAUACUGUUUGGCUAGGAUUUGGUUGUAGUGUGCGGAAUGUGUGGUGUAGCGGUGAAAUGCUUAGAUAUCACACAGAACACCGAUUGCGAAGGCAGCUCACAAAGCCAAGAUUGACGCUGAGGCACGAAAGUGUGGGGAUCAAACAGGAUUA